rnacentral:rRNA from 1 species
ACACCGGCAGCUCUAGUGGUAGCUGUUUUUAUUGGGCCUAAAGCGUUCGUAGCCGGUUUGAUAAGUCACUGGUGAAAUCCUGUAGCUUAACUGUGGGAAUUGCUGGUGAUACUGUUGAACUUGAGGUCGGGAGAGGUUAGCGGUACUCCCAGGGUAGAGGUGAAAUUCUGUAAUCCUGGGAGGACCACCUGUGGCGAAGGCGGCUAACUGGAACGAACCUGACGGUGAGGGACGAAAGCUAGGGGCGCGAACCGGAUUAGAUACCCGGGUAGUCCUAGCCGUAAACGAUGCGGACUUGGUGUUGGGAUGGCUUUGAGCCGCUCCGGUGCCGAAGGGAAGCUGUUAAGUCCGCCGCCUGGGAAGUACGGUCGCAAGACUGAAACUUAAAGGAAUUGGCGGGG